AAGUCGUAACAAGGUUUCCGUAGGUGAACCUGCGGAAGGAUCAUUACCGAGUGCGGGCCCUCGCGGCCCAACCUCCCACCCUUGUCUCUAUACACCUGUUGCUUUGGCGGGCCCACCGGGGCCACCUGGUCGCCGGGGGACGCACGUCUCCGGGCCCGCGCCCGCCGAAGCGCUCUGUGAACCCUGAUGAAGAUGGGCUGUCUGAGUACUGUGAAAAUUGUCAAAACUUUCAACAAUGGAUCUCUUGGUUCCGGCAUCGAUGAAGAACGCAGCGAAAUGCGAUAAGUAAUGUGAAUUGCAGAAUUCCGUGAAUCAUCGAAUCUUUGAACGCACAUUGCGCCCCCUGGCAUUCCGGGGGGCAUGCCUGUCCGAGCGUCAUUUCUGCCCUCAAGCACGGCUUGUGUGUUGGGUGUGGUCCCCCCGGGGACCUGCCCGAAAGGCAGCGGCGACGUCCGUCUGGUCCUCGAGCGUAUGGGGCUCUGUCACUCGCUCGGGAAGGACCUGCGGGGGUUGGUCACCACCAUGUUUUACCACGGUUGACCUCGGAUCAGGUAGGAGUUACCCGCUGAACCUAAGCAUAUCAAUAAGCGGAGGA
rnacentral:misc_RNA from 1 species